rnacentral:rRNA from 1 species
AUUGAGCGCUGGCGGCAGGCCUAACACAUGCGAGUCGAACGGUAACAGGAAGCAGCUUGCUGCUUCGCUGACGAGUGGCGGACGGGUGAGUAAUGUCUGGGAAGCUGCCUGAUGGAGGGGGAUAACUACUGGAAACGGUAGCUAAUACCGCAUAAUGUCGCAAGACCAAAGAGGGGGACCUUCGGGCCUCUUGCCAUCGGAUGUGCCCAGAUGGGAUUAGCUUGUUGGUGGGGUAACGGCUCACCAAGGCGACGAUCCCUAGCUGGUCUGAGAGGAUGACCAGCCACACUGGAACUGAGACACGGUCCAGACUCCUACGGGAGGCAGCAGUGGGGAAUAUUGCACAAUGGGCGCAAGCCUGAUGCAGCCAUGCCGCGUGUAUGAAGAAGGCCUUCGGGUUGUAAAGUACUUUCAGCGGGGAGGAAGGGAGUAAAGUUAAUACCUUUGCUCAUUGACGUUACCCGCAGAAGAAGCACCGGCUAACUCCGUG